UUCACAUAAUUUUGGACCGAAACAGCAGGAAUAUCACAUCCACAACUAAUUGGACAGCAAGCACAUGACUAAAUUUGGACAGCAUAUAGUUCAAAUUGGAAAGCAUAUCUACAAAAAACAGCAUUCUCCUUACCAGCACCCUUUCCCUAUAGUUCUCCAAAGGCCCACUCUAUGUAACCCAUCUUGUACCUAGGAUCAAAGAUGAUAGCAUUGGAGUGAAUUAGAAAGCAUAUCUACAAAAAACAGCAUUCUCCUUACCAGCACCCUUUCCCUUCUCAUUCCCCUUCUCCUUCACCAUUAUCUACAAAAAACAGCACAUAAUAUCUGCAGUCAGUACAUUAAUCAAGCGCAAAUAAUUCAUCUUCUUCUUUUUGUAGCAUAGAAAAUCAUCUAGUGCUAGUUCAAAUAAACAUAAUUAUCUCCUGACCAUUAUCUACAAAAAAAACAGCACAUCAAACAGGUACAAAUCAUGGACGUGGAGUCUGAAAUUUAUAUUGAUUAAAAUUAUUUUCAGCUUGUUAGAUACUCCUGGAGUACAUAAUUAUUUUCUGCUUGUUACAUACUCCUGGAAUACAUAAUUCUGCUUGUAUUUAGGGAGUUCACAUUUAGUCUGAAUUUUACAUGGGUACAUAAUUCUACUUGUAUUUAGAGAGUUCACUCACAAAAUUUCAUACAUGGCCUACUUGAUUUAAUAUUUUGGGUAUCCUUUACAGGUAGAGACAUCAGACAUCUGAUAUGUGGAUUCAGAAAAAGAGAGAUCCCAACUUUGCAGUGCCCCCCGUAUUACUAUCAGGUCAAGCAACACCUAGUGCCCAUAUGCUACAGCUCAAUCCUCUCAUGCACAAUUCACAGGCAUGUACCAUCCGCAGCAGCCUCCCUCAAUCGUAAGCCCACAUUCCAUGGUACAAGUUACAGAAAGAUUACCUCUUCCUCUUCGU
rnacentral:lncRNA from 1 species